rnacentral:rRNA from 1 species
AUGAACGCUAGCUACAGGCUUAACACAUGCAAGUCGAGGGGAAACGGCAUCGAAAGCUUGCUUUUGAUGGGCGUCGACCGGCGCACGGGUGAGUAACGCGUAUCCAACCUGCCCAUCACUUGGGAAUAACCUUGCGAAAGUAAGACUAAUGCCCAAUGACAUCCCACGAAGGCAUCCGAAUGGGAUUAAAGAUUUAUCGGUGAUGGAUGGGGAUGCGUCUGAUUAGCUUGUUGGCGGGGUGACGGCCCACCAAGGCAACGAUCAGUAGGGGUUCUGAGAGGAAGGUCCCCCACAUUGGAACUGAGACACGGUCCAAACUCCUACGGGAGGCAGCAGUGAGGAAUAGUGGUCAAUGGGCGAGAGCCUGAACCAGCCAAGUAGCGUGCAGGAUGACGGCCCUAUGGGUGGUAAACUGCUUUUAUAAGGGAAUAAAGUGGGUCACGUGUGACUUUUUGCAUGUACCUUAUGAAUAAGGACCGGCUAAUUCCGUG